ensembl:snRNA U1 U1 spliceosomal RNA
AUACUUACCUGGCAGGAGAGAUACCAUGACCACGAAGGUGGUUUUCACAGGGUGAGGCUUAUCCAUUGCACUCUGGAUGUGCUGACCCCUGUGAUUUCCCCAAAUGUGGGAAACUCAACUGCAUAAUUUGUGGUAGUGGGGGACUGCAUUCAUGCUCUCCCCUG